UCAAAGAUACACACAAACGUGCGAUUUCAGCGUCACCUCUGCCCGCCCGGUGAGUGCGCUAUCAGAGGGAAGUCCAGCUGAUUUGACACGGGAUAAAUGUUUUAAAUUGGUAAUUGGUGUCCCUAAGGUUUCCAGGGAGUGUUUCUGAGAGCCGGUAGGGUGAAGAACCAUCAUGGAAGAUGAAUCCUGGAGGUAGCGGCAUCUGGGUAUCCCGCAGUUUCCUGUUUCUGGAAUCACAUAGGGACAUUUUGAUACCCAAAUGAAAAGGUGCUGCUUUCAUUUCAUUUCAUUUCAUUUCAUUUCAUUUCAUGCAUAACACCCAGCAGUUAGUUGUCUUUGAUCCUUUCCACUUGAACAGUUCCCAACCUCAGUACUGGAUCUGAAAUAGGAGGUGGAUAAGUGAGACGGCAGGACACUGUCCUUCCACACUGUUUAGUAAGCCGUGAAAGAAGUUGAAAACAUAGCAUCAAAAUUUAAAAGUUCUAAUGUUGAUGAAGGAAGGGCCUGAGAGGUUCAGCUGCCUGUCUCCCAACCACAUGGUUAGUGAACCACUGCAUCAAGACCCAAGGAAACUCUCUCUAUUUGGCACUACAUCUGUCCUUGCUCUGGGAGACUCGCUGUUUCUGCAUAGAGAACAGAGGGGCCUCCCCAACUUGAAGGGGUAGGAGAACAAGGA
rnacentral:lncRNA from 1 species